ACUUGGCAGUGGUAGUGGAAAUGGUAGUCUUGCUGGCGAAACAGCAGGUGGUGGGAUUAUUGAUAAUUGAAGUGAUAUCGGGUUGAAAGCUAAGCGAUUGUGUAGAAAUGGUCAAGCGACCGUUGAAAAUUGAAGACUGAGAAGGCAUUUAGGAUUUUUAAUUAUUUAAUUCUUGUAUUAGAAUCUUUUUUCAUGUACUAUUGUAGAAUGUAUAUAUAAACAUAAUAUUAAUAUUUUA